UACGAAGGGGGCUAGCGUUGCUCGGAAUCACUGGGCGUAAAGCGCACGUAGGCGGGUUGUUAAGUCGGGGGUGAAAUCCUGGAGCUCAACUCCAGAACUGCCUUCGAUACUGGCGACCUUGAGUCCGGGAGAGGUGAGUGGAACUCCGAGUGUAGAGGUGAAAUUCGUAGAUAUUCGGAAGAACACCAGUGGCGAAGGCGGCUCACUGGCCCGGUACUGACGCUGAGGUGCGAAAGCGUGGGAGCAAACAGG
rnacentral:rRNA from 1 species